CGUUAAGAGCUCGUAACAAUUGUUCGAUGCUUAACUGUUGUUCGGUCUUGUGUAAUUAAUUAGAAAUCUAACUUUUAAUAUAACUCCAUUAAUAUUAUUCUUUCAAUUUUUUAUUUUCUUUUUUCUUUUUUUUUUUUUUUUACAUAAUACACUUUACUCAGUUAUUUCAAUUCCACCGUUUCUCAUCGUAGUCAGUUAUUGAUAGGAUUUCCAAGAAAUAUGAUGGAUCCUCGAAAUGGCGUCAGAGAGGAUAUUGACGAGAGUGAUAUUUCGAAAGUCGAUGGAACAUCGCCGGAGCGAGAGUCAUACGUUAUAGGGGCAAAUUCCAGAAAUAAGAGAGACAAUUUGCUAUAUGACUUCCGCGGAAUAAAACGUAACGAGGGUGACAUUUGUCGAAGGAGGAUCAUUUGAACUGGCUAUUACAGAAACGGAAUGAAACAAUGUGGACUAUAUCGUAUGGUCUGGCUUUCCCUUUGGGAAGAAGGAAAUGUCAGUUCUUGUCUAGUCGAGUCUUUGAAAGAAAGAAGAAGAAGAAGAAGAAGGAGAAGAAAAAGAAGUGGAAGAAUAAAGAAAGAAAGGCUUAACAUUUCUCGUAAAAAGUAUAAUUUUGGAAUUAGAGAAAAGACAACAAGAAGGAUGAAGUAUCGAGAUCUAGAAAUAAUUAGAGUAAAAGAAGUUGUGUGUGAAGGAUAUACAUGACGAACACACGUUUCUCGGUUAAUAAAACCUUGAUCGAGCAUCGACGAUCUAUGUCGAAAGAGAAAAAGAGAUAGAUAGAUAGAUAGAUAGAUAGAUAGAUAGAUAGAUAGAUAGAGAUAAAGAAAGAGCUGUGUGAAAUUUGAGCUCAGUGAAGUGCAGUGGCCUUCGAUCCUAUAUAUUUCGCUGUUCGUCGAUAAAGAGAAAGAGAGACAUAAAGAGAGAAAGAGAAAGAGAAAGAGAGAGAGAGAGAGACUCGUUGAGGCUCGACGUUCGACAAUGGGCAAUUUUCUCUGACCGGACGAGAAGUUUCGUGGUCAGCCUCUACUACGAUUAGAUAGGAGCCAGGGUAAUGGCGGGAGGUUCAAUCUGCAUUCGUAAUGACGAACGUGGAAGGUGACACAGUGUCUGACCUCGGUGCAGUGACAUCGGCCAUCUAUUAACCCCUAGAGCCAUACGCCUGCUCUCGGUUCUCUGUCAUGGAGAGGAAGAGAGGAUGAGAGAGUUAGAGAACGAGAGAGACAGAGAGAGAGAGAGAGAGAGAGAGAGAGAGAGAGAGAGAGAGAGAGAGAGAGAGAGAGAGAGAGAGAGAGUAUCAACCAGUUGGUCCUCCCUUUGUCAUCCUGCUAAUGAUCUCUUCGAACAUUGCCAGCAUCCUAUUAUUCUUAUCAUCAUUUCACUUUUGAUGGAAUUCCAGAUUCUUCAAAAAAUGUUUAAGCAUUCUUCUUCAACAAUCUUUCAACUUUCUACAAUUCCAACAAUGAUGAUAUAACUCAGUAGUAGAACUUACAUACCAGAUCUUGUUUAUAGUUAACUUAAAUAGUAACCUUUGAAUACGAACAAACAAUUUAUAAUUAUGAUGGAAAAGAUGAAAGUAAGAUUGUAAAAAUACAGAUGUAUGAGAACGUGUAUGCUUUCAGAACGCUUUACGAGGAACGUUCGAGAGGAUUGCUUGAAAGUUUUAGGCCGCAGAGUAAAUACAUGCUAUGCGACUCGAUGCAGUGUACACUAAUGACGAAUAAGAGCAAAGUUUCACUGUGGCUUCGUGGGAGUGGUAAUGGUGGCCUUCCUCUUACCCUCCCUCUCUCCCUCUUCUUCCCAUUCACCCUCCCCCUCCUCCUCCUCCCCCUGCCCCCUUUCAACCCGUGUGGAAUUCCAUAGCUAAUCUUAAGCAGAAUUAGCUUUCCAGUACUCGAUUGGAAACCACUGUAAUCACGUUUGCAUCACUGGAUUUAAUUCCGUAAACGAGAUUUUACCCGUUAUCCAUGAUCAUGAGAUGCAUGAGGUCAAACAGAGAUAUCAAUGAAUUAUUAUUCUUGCGGUUACCAUUGGCAUUCUGGUAGAUCGAUUUUGGUAUCAUGCAAACAAUUUAUUAUCAAUCGACGAUUGGACAUAUGCAUAUUGAAUGAUGAAUACCUAAUCCAGGCAUCAUCGGAUUCCUGUUACACGAUGGAUUUAAAUCCAAGCAUAUUUCGUGUUGACCUAGCCAAUAGAAAAUAGUUUUGGUCGAUAGUGAGAAGGGACAAACAACGUUCAAGGUACCAAGCGUCGUUUGGGGUUGCUUGGUUGGCGAUACGCCACGCAUCAUUUGCCUCGAGAGUUAAUGCAGUAGCCAGACUCGCCGCUAGCCUACAAGAUUAGAAAGUAUAAUGCUUAUGUUUUAUAGAUUCGAGAAGCCAGUUUUCAGACGAAGAAAUUUAUAUAGCUAUCUACGACAGAUGCGAAAGUGGACACAUGUGCAUACCAGUUAUGCGCUUUGAGCGAUCCUGAGAAUCCCACAGGAUCCCAGUGGUGGUUUCGAAGCUUCCCGCACUUACUAUCGAGAAUGCACUUUUCUUGUUUCGCACUUAAGACGAGUUUCUGGAUGCGAGAGCUAGCGUUACUUUCAAUAUGAACGCAUAUCGCCGUGAGCGGUCUCUUGCAUUACCUACAUACGUUAUUAAAAGUCUAUAAUCGUGUUAUUUCUUUACGAUAAUAAUUAUAUCAACUUUGUCGAACGUUUUCAGAUAUUGAAUUGUGCAGAAGUAGUCGAAUGGGAGUCAACCGAUUCGAUUUGAAUCGAAUGUAAAUGUAGGAACGAUCAGCUUAUAUGAAUUUCGAUCGUAUUGGUCCAGCUCGAGGAGUUUUACGUUUAGAGAGAGAGAGAGAGAGAGAGAGAGAGAGGGAGAGAGAGGGAGAGAGAAGAGAAACGAUUUCAUGCUAGCGAUUUCAAACUACCUAGGAACUGUAAUUUUACAAAGUGACGUACCAACACUCGACGAUGUACGCCAGUGGAUGAAGGGAUCGGAGCAAGGGUGCACACUGCACAACCCUCAUCAGCAACGGUAUUGCCGCGAUAGCGGAGCUACUCGUCAAAUAUUUACUUUAGAGGAUGCUGGUGCCAGGCAACGGGAGUAUCUCAGUUGUCGAGCAGGAGGAAGGAAGAGAAAGGAAGAGGACGUUGUUAGAGAGUCCGAUGCGGUGCUAUACAUAUAGUUUUGUAAAAAUAUUUAACCAUCCGAUAUUUUAUUAUUAAGAUUUUGUUUUUUGAAAUUUUCAUGUAGAUUAUUAUCAUAGAUUUCUCUUUGAUUUCUAUUGUCGUUUAUAAUAAGAAAGCUAUGGAAAUAGGAAUAUUGUUCUAAAAGACUAGAAAGACCUUGAGAGCUUGCUGGAUAACCGGAUAUUAAAUAUUCAGAAACUAU